GACGAACGCUGGCGGCAUGCCUAACACAUGCAAGUCGAACGGAGUAAAAAGAGCUUGCUUUUUUUACUUAGUGGCGGACGGGUGAGUAACGCGUGAGCAACCUGCCUUACAGAGGGGGACAACAUUGGGAAACCGAUGCUAAUACCGCAUAACAUCACGGAAUCGCAUGGUUUUGUGAUCAAAGAUUUAUCGCUGUAAGAUGGGCUCGCGUCCGAUUAGCUAGUUGGUGAGGUAAAGGCUCACCAAGGCGACGAUCGGUAGCCGGACUGAGAGGUUGAACGGCCACAUUGGGACUGAGAUACGGCCCAGACUCCUACGGGAGGCAGCAGUGGGGGAUAUUGCACAAUGGGCGAAAGCCUGAUGCAGCAAUGCCGCGUGAGGGAAGAAGGUCUUCGGAUUGUAAACCUCUGUUUUUAGUGACGAAACAAAUGACGGUAACUAAAGAGGAAGCUCCGGCUAACUACGUG
rnacentral:rRNA from 1 species